rnacentral:siRNA from 1 species
GUAAGAGAACUUCUUGGUGCAGC